rnacentral:rRNA from 1 species
CAGUCGCCACGGUAAUACAGAGGGUGCGAGCGUUAAUCGGAUUUACUGGGCGUAAAGCGUGCGUAGGCGGCUUCUUAAGUCGGAUGUGAAAUCCAUGAGCUUAACUUAGGAAUUGCAUUCGAUACUGGGAAGCUAGAGUAUGGGAGAGGAUGGUAGAAUUCCAGGUGUAGCGGUGAAAUGCGUAGAGAUCUGGAGGAAUACCGAUGGCGAAGGCAGCCAUCUGGCCUAAUACUGACGCUGAGGUACGAAAGCAUGGGGAGCAAACAGGAUUAGAUACCCCCGUAGUCCCUGUCUCUUAUAC